GAUGAAGAACGCAGCGAAAUGCGAUACGUAAUGCGAAUUGCAGAAUUCAGUGAAUCAUCGAGUCUUUGAACGCACAUUGCGCCCCCUGGUAUUCCGGGGGGCAUGCCUGUCCGAGCGUCAUUGCUGCCCUCAAGCACGGCUUGUGUGUUGGGCCUCCGCCCCCCGGCUCCCGGGGGGCGGGCCCGAAAGGCAGCGGCGGCACCGCGUCCGGUCCUCGAGCGUAUGGGGCUUCGUCACCCGCUCCGUAGGCCCGGCCGGCGCCCGCCGGCGACCCCCCUCAAUCUUUCCAGGUUGACCUCGGAUCAGGUAGGGAUACCCGCUGAACUUAAGCAUAUCAAUAAGCGGAGGA
rnacentral:misc_RNA from 1 species